AGGCUUUUUUCUGGCACAGAAUUUGAUCGCUGAAAAGUUGGGCAAACUUGGUCAUUUAGAGGAAGUAAAAGUCGUAACAAGGUUUCCGUAGGUGAACCUGCGGAAGGAUCAUUAAAAAAUUUCCCACGGAACCUGGUGGGAUAAUAAUAUCCUCCCACCCCUUGGGAAAUUGGUGGUUGGAAAAAAUUUUUUUUAAAAAAAUAUUUAUAAUGUGUCUCUCUGAAAUUGUGAGGAGAUGUGAUGGGAACUUGUGCUUUUCGGGAUAUAUAUUCUCUUGAUUUUUUUAAGAAAAACAUUUUUUUUAAAAAAAACACUUUAUGUUCUUUUGUCUCAAAAAAAUUUUUUAAUAAAAAAUUUUAAAACACCUUUUUAAAAGGGAUCUAUAUAAA
rnacentral:rRNA from 1 species